GGCUAUUAUAAAUAAGUAUGCUGUGA
rnacentral:misc_RNA from 1 species